AGAUUAAAACUCAAAGGAAUAGACGGGGACCCGCACAAGUGGUGGAGCAUGUGGUUUAAUUCGAAGAUACGCGAAGAACCUUACCUAGCCUUGACAUUGAUAGAAUACCCUAGAGAUAGAGUAGUGCCCUUCGGGGAACUUGAAAACAGGUGCUGCACGGCUGUCGUCAGCUCGUGUCGUGAGAUGUUGGGUUAAGUCCCGCAACGAGCGCAACCCUCGUCCUUAGUUGCCAGCAGGUUAAGCUGGGCACUUUAAGGAGACUGCCUUCGCAAGAAGGAGGAAGGUGAGGACGACGUCAAGUCAUCAUGGCCCUUAUGGCUAGGGCUACACACGUGCUACAAUGGGGCGUACAGAGAGUUGCGAUACCGCGAGGUGGAGCCAAUCUCAUAAAGCGUCUCUCAGUUCGGAUUGAAGUCUGCAACUCGACUUCAUGAAGCUGGAAUCACUAGUAAUCGUAGAUCAGCAAUGCUACGGUGAAUACGUUCCCGGGUCUUGUACUCACCGCCCGUCACACCAUGGGAGUUGAUUUCACCCGAAAUUGGGAAGCUAACCUUCGGGAGGCUACCACUUACGGUGGAAUUAGCGACUGGGGUGAAGUCGUAACAAGGUAACC
rnacentral:rRNA from 1 species